CCUACGGGGGGCAGCAGUGAGGAAUAUUGGUCAAUGGACGAGAGUCUGAACCAGCCAAGUAGCGUGAAGGAUGACUGCCCUAUGGGUUGUAAACUUCUUUUAUAAAGGAAUAAAACGAGGCACGUGUGCCUUUUUGUAUGUACUUUAUGAAUAAGGAUCGGCUAACUCCGUGCCAGCAGCCGCGGUAAUACGGAGGAUCCGAGCGUUAUCCGGAUUUAUUGGGUUUAAAGGGAGCGUAGAUGGGUUGUUAAGUCAGUUGUGAAAGUUUGCGGCUCAACCGUAAAAUUGCAAUUGAUACUGGCAGUCUUGAGUACAGUUGAGGUAAGCGGAAUUCGUGGUGUAGCGGUGAAAUGCUUAGAUAUCACGAAGAACCCCGAUUGCGAAGGCAGCUUACUAAACUGUGACUGACAUUGAUGCUCGAAAGUGUGGGUAUCAAACAGGAUUAGAUACCCGAGUAGUC
rnacentral:rRNA from 1 species